rnacentral:rRNA from 1 species
GGCUCAGGAUGAACGCUGGCGGCGUGCCUAAUACAUGCAAGUCGAGCGAAUGGAUURAGAGCUUGCUCUCAAGAAGUUAGCGGCGGACGGGUGAGUAACACGUGGGUAACCUGCCCAUAAGACUGGGAUAACUCCGGGAAACCGGGGCUAAUACCGGAUAAYAUUUUGAACUGCAUGGUUCGAAAUUGAAAGGCGGCUUCGGCUGUCACUUAUGGAUGGACCCGCGUCGCAUUAGCUAGUUGGUGAGGUAACGGCUCACCAAGGCAACGAUGCGUAGCCGACCUGAGAGGGUGAUCGGCCACACUGGGACUGAGACACGGCCCAGACUCCUACGGGAGGCAGCAGUAGGGAAUCUUCCGCAAUGGACGAAAGUCUGACGGAGCAACGCCGCGUGAGUGAUGAAGGCUUUCGGGUCGUAAAACUCUGUUGUUAGGGAAGAACAAGUGCUAGUUGAAUAAGCUGGCACCUUGACGGU